rfam:Aeromonas schubertii strain ATCC 43700 Scaffold16, whole genome shotgun sequence.
UCACCUUAACUUAAACACCACACACACAUCGACACCUGUGCCGGGGUGCCCCUUACGGGUCGGUCACAUGGGAUGUGUGGAGGCCUAAC